AUUGAACGCUGGCGGCAUGCUUUACACAUGCAAGUCGAACGGCAGCGCGGGCUUCGGCCUGGCGGCGAGUGGCGAACGGGUGAGUAAUACAUCGGAACGUGCCCAGUAGUGGGGGAUAGCUCGGCGAAAGCCGGAUUAAUACCGCAUACGACCUGAGGGUGAAAGCGGGGGAUCUUCGGACCUCGCGCUAUUGGAGCGGCCGAUGGCAGAUUAGCUGUUGGUGGGGUAAAGGCCUACCAAGGCGACGAUCUGUAGCUGGUCUGAGAGGACGACCAGCCACACUGGGACUGAGACACGGCCCAGACUCCUACGGGAGGCAGCAGUGGGGAAUUUUGGACAAUGGGCGAAAGCCUGAUCCAGCAAUGCCGCGUGUGUGAUGAAGGCCUUCGGGUUGUAAAGCACUUUUGGCGGGAACGAAAAGGACUGUGCCAAUACCACGGUUCGAUGACGGUACCCGCAGAAUAAGCACCGGCUAACUACGUG
rnacentral:rRNA from 1 species